UUGACGAGGUACACAAUGAACAUUGUACUUGACGAGGUACACAAUGUACGUUGUACUUGACGAGGUACACAAUGUACGUUGUACUUGACGAGGUACACAAUGUACAUUGUACUUGACGAGGUACACAAUGUACAUUGUACUUGACGAGGUACACAAUGUACAUUGUACUUGACGAGGUACACAAUGAACAUUGUACUUGACGAGGUACACAAUGUACAUUGUACUUGACGAGGUACACAAUGAACAUUGUACUUGACGAGGUACACAAUGAACAUUGUACUUGACGAGGUACACAAUGUACAUUGUACUUGACGAGGUACACAAUGUACAUUGUACUCUACGAGGUACACAAUGUACAUUGUACUUGACGAGGUACACAAUGUACAUUGUACUUGACGAGGUACACAAUGAACAUUGUACUUGACGAGGUACACAAUGAACAUUGUACUUG